rnacentral:rRNA from 1 species
ACAGCAGUAGCCGCGGUAAUACGUAGGUGGCAAGCGUUGUCCGGAAUUAUUGGGCGUAAAGGGCUCGCAGGCGGUUUCUUAAGUCUGAUGUGAAAGCUCCCGGCUCAACCGGGGAGGGUCAUUGGAAACUGGGAAACUUGAGUGCAGAAGAGGAGAGUGGAAUUCCGCGUGUAGCGGUGAAAUGCGUAGAGAUGUGGAGGAACACCAGUGGCGAAGGCGACUCUCUGGUCUGUAACUGACGCUGAGGAGCGAAAGCGUGGGGAGCGAACAGGAUUAGAUACCCCUGUAGUCCCUGUCUCUUAUAC